UACGGAGGGGGCUAGCGUUGUUCGGAAUUACUGGGCGUAAGCGCGCGUAGGCGGACCUGCAAGUCGGGGGUGAAAGCCCGAGGCUCAACCUCGGAACUGCCUUCGAUACUGCGGGUCUCGAGUCCGGGAGAGGUGAGUGGAAUUCCUAGUGUAGAGGUGAAAUUCGUAGAUAUUAGGAAGAACACCAGUGGCGAAGGCGGCUCACUGGCCCGGUACUGACGCUGAGGCGCGAAAGCGUGGGGAGCAAACAGG
rnacentral:rRNA from 1 species